rnacentral:rRNA from 1 species
AACGUAGGUUCCGAGCGUUAUCCGGAUUUACUGGGCGUAAAGCGCGUUCAGGCGGUUUGCCAAGUCGGGCAUGAAAUCUCUCGGCUCAACCGGGAGAGGUUGUCCGAUACUUCCAGACUUGAGGGCAGUAGAGGGUGGUGGAAUUCCGGGUGUAGUGGUGAAAUGCGUAGAUAUCCGGAGGAACACCAGUGGCGAAAGCGGCCACCUGGACUGCACCUGACGCUGACACGCGAAAGCUAGGGGAGCGAACGGG